CAAAUCGAACGGGGUUACGGUCUUCGGAUUGUAACCUAGUGGCGAACGGCUGAGUAGCACGUAAGUAACCUGCCUUGGAGUGGGAAAUAACUUGCUGAAAGGCGAGCUAAUGUCCCAUGUGGUAAUGAAUCACAAGCUUCAUUACUAAAGCUUUCGGGCGCUCCAAGAGGGGCUUGCGUCUGAUUAGCUAGUUGGUAGGGUAAUAGCCUACCAAGGCGAUGAUCAGUAGCUGGUCCGAGAGGAUGACCAGCCAGAUGGGGACUGGGACACGGCCCCAACUCCUACGGGAGGCAGCAGCAAGGAAUUUUGGGCAAUGGGCGAAAGCCUGACCCAGCGACACCGCGUGAGGGAUGAAGGCCUUCGGGUUGUAAACCUCUUUUCUUGGGGAAGAAUCUCGACGGUACCCAGGGAAUAAGCCUCGGCCAACUACGUGCCAGCAGCCGCGGU
rnacentral:rRNA from 1 species